GUUAAAGUGCAGUCACAAUAAAAGGAGAACAAAGAAUGAAAAAUAAUAAUUCCAGCCUAUCAGAAACCGUGUAUUCCGGUGUAUCCGAUAUCUGAGAAAAUGGCAAAGUGGAGGGGAAGUCGAUUGGCGCGUGACAGAACGAGACGGAUAUUUGCGUGGUGGAGGAGGAGGAAGAGGCCCCGAGCAGAAGACAACGAUCGCCAUUUUUCUUCUGACGUUGCCGCAGUUAGUAUAGCUGCUGUGGCUCGCGCUGUGUUUAUCCGUUAUAGUGAUCUGUGUGCCUUUCUCUCUUCCCCCCUCUGUCACUUCCAAAAGGUGAAUCGACAACGGUAACGUGGAGAAGGAGAGAUAGAGGAAGAAGAAGAAGGAGAAGGCGGUGGUGGAGGGAGCGACGACGACGACGGAGCGGCGACGACGGCGACGACGACGGCGGCGACGGCACCUGGACGGUUACUGUGUAGUGCGCAUUAAGAUAAGAGUACAGAGAUAACGA